rnacentral:sRNA from 1 species
UGCCCAGCAUCCCUGGGAGGGCCCUGUGGUAGUUUCAGCUCCCUCUGGGGGCCCAGAAUGGACCUGGCCUGUGGUGAGGAUGUAAGCACCAGUGGCCAAUUGGGUCCAAAGGAAGACACUGGUGCAGGAGUGGUUGCUAUGUACAGGGCAGAGCCACCCAAUCCCCAUGCAGGCGCUGUGUCCUGCCACGCUGGCCUCCUCCUGGCCAUCACAUCAGGCCAAGCAGGGCAGAGGAAUGGGAAUGCCCAUGCACCCCUAUCAACUCUGCAGACACAGAACCAUGCACAGCUCUUGGGAGGAGUCAGAUGAGCUGCUCAAAGCCCAGGAGGGACCCGCACAGUGGUCAGCAUGGCAGGGACGGUGCUUUAGCCAAGGCAGGGAUGGUGGGAGACUCGGGAUCCUCAAGGAGGCCGCUGCAUUUCCGUGCUCUUUCCAGAUAACAAGGACGUGUCGGUGAUGAUGAGCGAGAUGGACGUGAACGCCAUCGCAGGCACGCUGAAGCUGUACUUCCGUGAGCUGCCCGAGCCCCUCUUCACUGACGAGUUCUACCCCAACUUCGCAGAGGGCAUCGGGUGGCAGAGAAGGAGGCAGUCAAUAAGAUGUCCCUGCACAACCUCGCCACGGUCUUUGGCCCCACGCUGCUCCGGCCCUCCGAGAAGGAGAGCAAGCUCCCUGCCAACCCCAGCCAGCCUAUCACCAUGACUGACAGCUGGUC